GGGGAUUUAGCUCAGUGGUAGAGCGCUUGCCUAGCAAGCAUAAGGCCCUGGGUUCGGUCCUCAGCUCCA
rfam:Rattus norvegicus chromosome 2, whole genome shotgun sequence.